UACGUAGGGGGGCUAGCGUUGUCCGGAUUUAUUGGGCGUAAAGAGCGUGUAGGCGGCCAGGUAGGUCUGCUGUGAAAACUCGAGGCUCAACCUCGAGACGUCGGCGGAAACCAUCUGGCUAGAGUCCGGAAGAGGAGAGUGGAAUUCCUGGUGUAGCGGUGAAAUGCGCAGAGUAUCAGGAAGAACACCCGUGGCGAAGGCGGCUCUCUGGGACGGUACUGACGCUGAGACGCGAAAGCGUGGGUAGCAAACAGG
rnacentral:rRNA from 1 species